rnacentral:rRNA from 1 species
GGCUCAGAUUGAACGCUGGCGGCAGGCCUAACACAUGCAAGUCGAGCGGUAGCACAGAGAGCUUGCUCUCGGGUGACGAGCGGCGGACGGGUGAGUAAUGUCUGGGAAACUGCCUGAUGGAGGGGGAUAACUACUGGAAACGGUAGCUAAUACCGCAUAACGUCGCAAGACCAAAGUGGGGGACCUUCGGGCCUCAUGCCAUCAGAUGUGCCCAGAUGGGAUUAGCUAGUAGGUGGGGUAACGGCUCACCUAGGCGACGAUCCCUAGCUGGUCUGAGAGGAUGACCAGCCACACUGGAACUGAGACACGGUCCAGACUCCUACGGGAGGCAGCAGUGGGGAAUAUUGCACAAUGGGCGCAAGCCUGAUGCAGCCAUGCCGCGUGUGUGAAGAAGGCCUUCGGGUUGUAAAGCACUUUCAGCGGGGAGGAAGGCGGUAAGGUUAAUAACCUUGUCGAUUGACGUUACCCGCAGAAGAAGCACCGGCUAACUCCGUGCCAGCAGCCGCGGUAAUACGGAGGGUGCAAGCGUUAAUCGGAAUUACUGGGCGUAAAGCGCACGCAGGCGGUCUGUCAAGUCGGAUGUGAAAUCCCCGGGCUCAACCUGGGAACUGCAUUCGAAACUGGCAGGCUAGAGUCUUGUAGAGGGGGGUAGAAUUCCAGGUGUAGCGGUGAAAUGCGUAGAGAUCUGGAGGAAUACCGGUGGCGAAGGCGGCCCCC